rnacentral:rRNA from 1 species
GAUGAACGCUGGCGGCGUGCCUAAUACAUGCAAGUCGAGCGAACGGACGAGAAGCUUGCUCCUCUGAUGUUAGCGGCGGACGGGUGAGUAACACGUGGAUAACCUACCUAUAAGACUGGGAUAACUUCGGGAAACCGGAGCUAAUACCGGAUAAUAUAUUGAACCGCAUGGUUCAAUAGUGAAAGACGGUCUUGCUGUCACUUAUAGAUGGAUCCGCGCUGCAUUAGCUAGUUGGUAAGGUAACGGCUUACCAAGGCAACGAUGCAUAGCCGACCUGAGAGGGUGAUCGGCCACACUGGAACUGAGACACGGUCCAGACUCCUACGGGAGGCAGCAGUAGGGAAUCUUCCGCAAUGGGCGAAAGCCUGACGGAGCAACGCCGCGUGAGUGAUGAAGGUCUUCGGAUCGUAAAACUCUGUUAUUAGGGAAGAACAAAUGUGUAAGUAACUAUGCACGUCUUGACGGUACCUAAUCAGAAAGCCACGGCUAACUACGUG